CGCUGUGGAAGAAGAAAUUACUGGAGAACUCGUCAACAGAGGCGACGCCGGGGAAAUAGAGACUGGAGAGGCCUUGACUCGCUUUGUGGAGGUCGCUGACAGGCUGACCAUUCAGUCCUCCAUGGCCAGCAAUGGUUGGUUUACUACUGCCUUUUGUUGUAAAGCCAUCAACAAGGGAAACGCUUAUCUAAUGAAAACUAGUUCUGUUGCACAAGUGACCCAGUCGUUUAUGGUCAGUGGACUCAUUGAUCCUUCCCAGCCAGAGCUGAACGUGCCUUUCAACAUCAAUGUCACUUCCG